UGCCUUCUCUCUAACUUUUCAUCUUCUCCGCUGGUUUCAUCUUCUUCUUCUCUGCUUCCUCUGUGUAUGUAGGUCAACCUACACUGAGGGUGCUAUGGCGAGAGGGAGAGGUCGACCUAAGAAGGUUUUGGUGCCAAUUUAUGCAAACAAUCCUCUGUGUAUGUAGGUCAACCUAUAUUGAGGGUGCUAUGGCGAGAGGGAGAGAUCGACCUAAGAAGGUUUUGGUGUCAAUUUAUGCAAACAACACUGUUUCCCCCAAAUCUGUUAAUACUGUUCCACAAGCAGUUAAUACUGUUCCAUUGAAGCCUAUGGAAGAAACUGUCUCAUUGCUUCAUGCAACUGUUGAUUCACAGCCAUCUGGAGUUCCAGUACUUCCAACAGUAGCUGAUAAGGUUGAUAACGACUCAGAGCCUCAGUCUGGACCAGUGAUUCCACCUGCAGAUCCUUCCAUCUCUCAAAGUUUAUCUAGAAAUCAAGGACCUCAAUCUGGACCGGAUGCACCAUUGGUUUCGAUGGUACAAGCUAAUAGUGAAAAUGUGCACAUGCACCAACAUCCANNN
rnacentral:lncRNA from 1 species